rnacentral:rRNA from 1 species
CCUACGGGUGGCUGCAGUAGGGAAUAUUGCUCAAUGGGGGAAACCCUGAAGCAGCAACGCCGCGUGGAGGAUGAAGGUUUUCGGAGGGGAAACUCCUUUUGUUAGAGAAGAGAAUGACGGUAUCUAACGAAUAAGCACCGGCUAACUCCGUGCCAGCAGCCGCGGUAAUACGGAGGGGGCAAGCGUUACUCGGAAUCACGGGGCGUAAAGGGCGCGUAGGCGGGAUAGCAAGUCAGAUGUUAAAUCCUAUGGCUUAACCAUAGAACUGCAUUUGAAACUUUUAUUCUAGAGUAUGGGAGAGGUAGGUGGAAUUCUUGGUGGAGGGGUGAAAUCCGUAGAGAUCAAGAGGAAUACUCAUUGCGAAGGCGACCUGCUAGAACAAAACUGACGCUGAUGCGCGAAAGCGUGUGGAGCAAACAGGAUUAGAUACCCCAGUAGUC